rnacentral:rRNA from 1 species
UCGAGGAUCUUCGGCAAUGGGCGCAAGCCUGACCGAGCGACGCCGCGUGGAGGACGAAGGCCUUCGGGUUGUAAACUCCUGUCGAGGGGGACCAAGGGCCGGCGGAGAGCCGGCCUUGAGGUAGCCCUGGAGGAAGCACGGGCUAAGUUCGUGCCAGCAGCCGCGGUAAGACGAACCGUGCGAACGUUAUUCGGAAUCAUUGGGCUUAAAGGGCGCGUAGACGGGUGAUCGCGUCGGUCGCUGAAAGCCCCCGGCUCAACCGGGGAACGGGCGCCGAUACGGAUCACCUCGAGGGGAGGCGGGGGACCCGGAACGGCCGGUGGAGCGGUGAAAUGCGUUGAGAUCGGCCGGAACACCGACGGCGAAAGCAGGGUCCUGGACUCCAACUGACGUUGAGGCGCGAAAGCCAGGGGAGCGAACGGGAUUAGAUACCCCGGUAGUCCUGGCCGUAAACGAUGGGCACUGGAUGGCGGGCUCGCCGAUGGGCGCGCCAUCGCAGCGAAAGCGUGAAGUGCCCCGCU